CAUCAAAGACCAAGGCACCUGUGACCCUGCAGUCCUCAUCAUGGUGGCUUUUCUUCCAAUGUUUGGAGCCUCACAGUCACAACAUGGCUGCUGUAUCCACCACAUCGCCUGCUAACACCACUCCAAAGCAGGAAAGGAAAGAAGAGGAUAAAGGGCCUCUCUCUUAUCAAACUUUCUCCAAAGCCCGCAGCAAGAAGGCUCUCCCUUACACCUCACAGGCCAGACUGGGACACGUGACCACCUUUAAAUAGUCCUUGACCAAGAGCGAGGUUGUAACCAUCAACUUAAAACAAUCCUGCUCCAUCUCCUGGGACAUGGCUGCCUGCAAAGCUUGGGGUUCUGUUAUUAAGAGAGAAGCUUAUGGGACUUCCCUGGCAGUCUAAUGGUUAAGACUCCACACGCCUGGUUCAGGGGGCACGGGUUCGAUCCCUCUUUGGGGAACUAAGAUCCUGCAUGGUGCAGCAAAAAAAAAAAAGAGAAAGUGAGGUGUCCGCCACAAGCACCUACGAUGUUCCACACAUGGAAGGAGGUGCUAGAACCACGGAAGUCAGCAAGACGUAACCAUUCAGGCCCUCCUGGAGCUGACCUCACGCCAGCAAGGGGAGCAGACAGUGAGGCAUUCGACAAAGACAGCAAGUUCCUUCUGUCAUUCAUUCAAGUAUUUAUUGAAGACCUACUGUGCGCCAGGCUGGGCUACAGCAGCGACUACAAUGGAUAAGGUUCCUUCCUUCCUGGUGUUUCCAGAUCAGAGCAGGAGGAGAAAAGCAAUAACCAGAUUAGCAAUCCAUCAAUAAACAAGCAAACAAAUCAACGGGAUCCUCUCAACUUUUCCAGAGUUGUUUGGUGGCACCUCCAGGCCUCUGCCUCAGGGACAACUUCAGAAUUUCUGUCACCGUGUACUUCGCGAAUAGUGGGAAAUACCGUUUCGUUUCUGUUGCAUAAGUCUCACGGUUGUGCAGAAGAAGUGAAUGCUGCUUGGAAACAUUUACACAGAGAGUUCCUUAUUCCCUAAUGAGACGCUCUCAGAUUCUGUGGGCUCAGGAUUUGGGCUUCCCUUGUAGCUCAGUUGGUAAAGAAUGUGCCUUCAAUGCAGGAGACCCUGUUCAGUUCCUGGGUCAGGAAGAUCCCCUGGAGAAGAAAAUGGCAAUCCACUCCUGUGUCCUUGCCUGGAGAAUCCCAUGGACAGAGGAACCUGGCAUGAGGUCACAAGAGUCGGACACGACUGAGCAACUAAACAACAGCCAACAGGAUUUGAAGACCACCCCUACUUCCCAAGCUCUGCUUUUUAAAAUGAUAAUAAUUAAGAGAAAGCAAGGGGUGGUUUUUUUAGUUUUAUUUACUCAUUUCUUUCUUUUUGGCUUUGCUGCGUCUUGGUUACUGCACGGGCUUUCCUCUAGUUGUGGCCAGCAGGGGCUACUCUUCCUUGAGGCACAC
ensembl:lncRNA